CACGUAGGGUGCGAGCGUUGUCCGGAAUUAUUGGGCGUAAAGAGCUCGUAGGCGGUGUGUCGCGUCGGCCGUGAAAACCUGCAGCUUAACUGUGGGCGUGCGGUCGAUACGGGCAUCACUGGAGUUCGGCAGGGGAGACUGGAAUUCCUGGUGUAGCGGUGAAAUGCGCAGAUAUCAGGAGGAACACCGGUGGCGAAGGCGGGUCUCUGGGCCGAUACUGACGCUGAGGCGCGAAAGCGUGGGGAGCGAACGGG
rnacentral:rRNA from 1 species